GACGAACGCUGGCGGCGUGCCUAAUACAUGCAAGUCGAACGAGAGCGACCGGUGCUUGCACUGGUCAAUCUAGUGGCGAACGGGUGAGUAACACGUGGGUAACCUGCCCAUCAGAGGGGGAUAACAUCCGGAAACGGAUGCUAAAACCGCAUAGGUCUUCGAGCCGCAUGGCUUGAAGAGGAAAAGAGGCGCAAGCUUCUGCUGAUGGAUGGACCCGCGGUGCAUUAGCUAGUUGGUGAGGUAACGGCUCACCAAGGCCGUGAUGCAUAGCCGACCUGAGAGGGUAAUCGGCCACAUUGGGACUGAGACACGGCCCAAACUCCUACGGGAGGCAGCAGUAGGGAAUCUUCCGCAAUGGACGCAAGUCUGACGGAGCAACGCCGCGUGAGUGAAGAAGGUUUUCGGAUCGUAAAACUCUGUUGUUAGAGAAGAACAAGUGCUAGAGUAACUGUUAGCGCCUUGACGGUAUCUAACCAGAAAGCCACGGCUAACUACGUG
rnacentral:rRNA from 1 species